rnacentral:misc_RNA from 1 species
CAACAGUUGACUUGUCCCACAAUCAUAAGGGACCUAUUCUUUGUAUUACAAGAGAGUCCACUUGUUUGUAAGAAAGGAAAUAUUACUUUUAUACAUGGGAAUAUUCUAUAAUCUUCCUUCUCUUCAAAAAUAGUUUCUAAUUUCAAGCUAAAAACUCCGUUCCAUACGCCUACAAAUCAUAGUUUAUCCUUUAUUAGUAAUUUUAACAGUCACUUUGUGAGCAGAUCAUAGCUUUCUCAUUGCGUCAUAAACUAUAGCAAAAACCUACUUUGAACACCACAUGCUACAAUUACAUGUAUAGACUGACCAAUAUCAUAGAAUUAGAAGGAGCAUGCACCUUUUACAUUGACUAGCUUCCACCACCUAGGAAUUAAUGCAAUAUUUACUAGGUACUUCACAUCUUAAUGCUUGAAGCAUUUUUACUAAAUACCUUCUCAACAUUAAUCAUUGGACUUCCAUGAUAGGUUCUGCCAUUGGGGUAAGAGUUGUGGCUGUCACAUAUUCAACCAGGGUCAAAUUAUUCAUCAUCUAGCUCUGUUGAGAAGUCAGGCUCUUCAGGCUUUUGCAACUUGGGCAUUUCAACAUCCUUGAUUUUCUCAGCUCCUCUCCUGGUGUUUGCAGCAAAUCUUGAAGCGAGUAUUGUAACACCAAGGUUUUGUUUCGCUUGAGAAGAAGCUGAAGACACCAUACUAUCCUCUUCCUCCUCUUGAGCUGUUUCACGACCCACUUGUUCAUCAACAGAAAGUGCAAAUGACUCACCCAUGCUCAGUGUCUUUGCCAUCAUCCUUUUCUUGUGUCGACGCCAAGCAGCCUGAAUAAAGCAUGCAGCCCAUGUCCUCCAGUGGUAAGAGUAGAAACGGAAUGUAUGUUGUAGCUUUUUGCUAUGGAGACGUCUAAACUGAUUGGCCACAAACUUGAGGUCUUCUGCCCGCAAUGCAAAUGCUUCCACUUCCUCUAGCGCUCUUACUGUCCUUGUGGAAGAAGGUAAGUUGAGUGUAGAUUUUGGAAGCAAUGCCCAUGCAAGCAGCUCUUCACCACAAAAAUCACCAGGUCCCAAAGUAAUUGAAUUGAAGAAACCUGUCCGGCCUCCAUUUGUAGUAGAGCUCUCUAGCCUCCCCCUAAUAAUGAAAAGCAUCUCUGUAACAGGAUCACCUUCACGAACUAUGUAAGUGCCUAGGGUACUCAAGGAGGACACUAAGCGUUCACAUAUGGCAUCAAGUAACUGAUCAUCCAUCUGUGAGAAAAAAGGGACUCGUCGAACAAGAUCCAAGCAAAGGUGGCGCUGGAUGUCUCUACGAAGAUCUGCGGGUAAAGCACGCAAGAUUGAUUCUUCAUCAACCCCUCGAGUUGCUAGCCACUUGUACUUAACAAAUCUUCUAACUUGUUCUCGCAGGUUUUGGGGAAGUUGGCGAUGUCUCAUCCAUUCUUCAGUGUUCGUCGCUUGAGCCUCCACUCUUCAAGUCUGACAGUGAUAGAUUGCAAGUAGGUCUAAACCGUAGAAAGCAUGUUAAAAGUAUGAGCUACUGAAUGUUUUAAAAAAAAAGAUGUUCCGUAGAUAAUAAGAGUACACAAUUAAAUGAUUUGCAAUGUGAUUUGCAACAGUCACAUAAUAAACAUGCUGAGGUAUACUGUAAAGUAUAAACCAAAAGGAAGAAGUACAAGCUUCCUUGCAUUCUGCUAGAUGUAAGUGAUUGUACACUUCUAUUUGAUUACCAUAUUUAUUUAAUUUUGUAUCUCAAUAUCCUUUGUUAUUCAAAUUUAUGAUCAGUAUAGGUCACAUUAUAAGUCCAUGACUGCCAUUUCCAGGCAGCUAAGAGAUAGCAAGGACCUGAAUGGAGAAUAAAGCCAACAUCUUUUCCCAAAUGCUAUGACGAUCAAGGCAAAACUAUAUGCAAAAGUCAAUACUUUUCCCAAAAUGCCAAGUGAUAUCCAACUACAUAAAAUCCACAAUGCAUUUGAAUUGAAUGAAAUAAACAACAAAGCCAAAGCAGGAUCACCAGAAAAUGAGAUCAACGCAAAAUCAUCAACUUUAUUACCAUUAAGUAACGGAUAUCAAUUGUGCAGAGGAAAACUGAAAUUUUAACAACAUAUAUAGCCUUACAUCAUCUAAAAGAAGUAUAAAGGUUUUAAUACUUCCACAUCACCUGCAUAUUUCCAAUCAAAUGGGCAAACAAAACCAGACCCAAGAUGGCAAUGAGCAUAGCAAAUGCAGUUUCCCCAAUAAAUGUGCUUGUAGCCAAAAUCUGGCAUAGGAACUGAAAAAAAUAACGUGCAAAAAAGGUAUGUUAAAAUAUGGUAAUCAAGGCUUUUACAUGGCACCUUUUCACACUAGCCACUAAACUUAAGUUAAUGAUAUCAAAAAUAUAUAUCUUCCUUCCAUCCCUCUGUAUGCGAAGACAGAGAAAAUUCUUGCUUUAAUUGGAAUAUCACUUGUGAAAUUUAAGGGCAGAAUGAUGAAUGUGAAAAUAUUCAUAUUAUACGUAUAGCAUUAGCACUAAGGGAGCAAACACUUCAGAUAAUUUCCAAGCAUUCAGUUAAACAUAACAAUAUUGUGUCGUUUAUUAUUAUUGGAAAAGAAAUAAACAUUGAGGCACAUUUUCAUGAAUUUGUACCUCAGGUUCUGUAAGCCCCACCAGAGACAAUAGAAAUACUUCUCUAGAAAUUCAAAGGAGACAACAUUCUGUGUCACAGCAUUUGCAAAUAUCCCAUAAUAAAAAACAGUACUGUUUUCUGGAUCACAGCUGCUAAAGACCUGAGUGCUGUUUUGCCACAGUUUGCAUUCAUCUUUGGUCAAACUACUACAAUGCAAGAAAGGAAGUUUGCACUUUACAGGACUAAAUUCAUGUGUGCAAACAGAUUUCCAGCAUGUUGCAUGACGCUCAAUUGACAACAAAUACCACGACGCCCCUAAGACCUACAAGAUCAGAAGGCAGUGCAUAACUGCAUUAAAAUGACUGAUAGUACAAACAAUAUUUAGAUACAGCAGCAUGUAAACCAAAAGCACGUUCAUAUAGAAGUGGUUAAACAGAAAUAAGUCAUAUAAAAUUCCAAUAUUGAAUUAUGAUCCUACUUCAGCAUUUUUGCAUGAAGUGGCUGCUGCUCUUAAGAAUUGAACCUAUAACCUUGUGGUUGCAAGUCCAAGAUUUUUACCAUUGCAACAUGCAAUGGCUCCGUGUAUUGAUAAAUAAUGUUAUGCAAAAUUUGAGUAGAAAUACAUACAUGACUAGCCAACAUGUAUGGUAGGAGAUUGUAAGCAGCCCCAGCCCAAGCAGUUUUUGUAACUACUCCAGUGGCUUUGAUGAUCUGUGGAAGAGGUAAGGAUGCAAUAAGAUCUGUGAAGAAAUCUGAUUUCAAAUAGCGCCUGGCAAUUUUCUUGGGAUCCAUAACGAGUUCACCCCUUCCAAAAACUCUUGAACUAGGUGCUACAUAAGCUGUCCUGAACUUAACCACAAUAUGCAAUGCGUAGAAUAUAUCGGCAAAAGUUCGAAAACAGGUCACAGUAAUCCCUAAAUUCAAAUCAGUAUCCAUACAGGAAGUAACGCUAUUGUUUAUCACUGAAGGAAGGUAAAAGAACAAUGGAUCGACAAAAAGUGCCACCAAGGAAAAGAAGAGGAAAACCCUGUUCCAUUGUAGGAAAACAUCACUUCCUGGAUCAAGAAUUGGCUUCCUCCAUGCUGCAUGAUUCUCUGGGAAUACCUUAAACUGACCAAAUUUAGGAAUCUUAUGGCCUUUGUGUGAAUCACUUACACCACCUUCAGAUUUCAAUAAUGGGCCAGAAACUUUAUAUACAGGCAAUGGCAUCUGCAGGUGCUGAGUUUCAUUAAACCUCACUAGCUUCUCUUUCUUGAACUCCAUGACUGCAAUCUACAAAUAUCAUCCGCUUACAUGCAUUGCAAAAGGAAACUAAAAAAGAACGAUGAUAUCCAAGCAGAGAGCUAAGUUUUGCUGAAGCAAGAAAUCAAUGAAUUUCCAAUUUCUGAAACGGAAUAGCAUCUUCAAGAAAAGGAGCUUAACUUAAAGCUCCUAGUGGGAAAACCCAAUUUCGAGUGCUACAACUGCAUGCUUUUAAGAAUAAGACUUCUAGCUCCUGAAAGGAAAAGAAUGGAGAUUUCUGAGAGAGAAAAAAGAAAAGAAACAGUUGAAGAACUUAUGAGGGGGGUCCCAAUGGGUUUUAUGUAAAAGAAAAGAAAGAAAGAAAGCCUGGGAUAUUCAGUUUUAGUUGCUUCUAAGGCAGAGAGCUGAGUUUGAGAGGACGUGAAAGCCAUGAAUCAACAUAAAAAGAAACAGACUCAAAAGAACAAGAAGAAUGGAACAUGUUAAAUAUUUAAUUUUCCAACUUGCCUCUUG